GAUCGCUGAAAGGAGACGGAAGAGACGAACGCACGCAAAGAACACUUCCACCCGUCAACCAGGUUUUCUAUCGCUUGAAGAGAUUGAUGAAUCUGAGUAUGGUUUGGAAAUUCCUAAACCUGAGAGAGAAAACAAGAAAGAAAGGACUAAAGAAAAUAAAAAUGA